GAUUAAGCCAUGCAUGUCUAAGUACAUGCCGCAUCAGGGCGAAACCGCGAAUGGCUCAUUAAAUCAGUUAUGGUUCCUUAGAUCGUACCUCACUACUUGGAUAACUGUGGUAAUUCUAGAGCUAAUACAUGCAGCAGAGCUCCGACCCUCCGGGAACGAGCGCUUUUAUUAGACCAAGACCAAUCGGGCUGUGGCGACUCUGUAUAACUUUGGGCUGAUCGCACGGGCCCGACCCGGCGACGCAUCUUUCAAGUGUCUGCCUUAUCAACUGUCGAUGGUAGGUUACGCGCCUACCAUGGUCGUAACGGGUAACGGGGAAUCAGGGUUCGAUUCCGGAGAGGGAGCCUGAGAAACGGCUACCACAUCCAAGGAAGGCAGCAGGCGCGCAAAUUACCCACUCCCGGCACGGGGAGGUAGUGACGAAAAAUAACAAUACGGGACUCUUUUGAGACCCCGUAAUUGGAAUGAGUGGACUCCAAAUCCAUCCUCGAAAGUCAAUUGGAGGGCAAGUCUGGUGCCAGCCGCCGCGGUAACUCCAGCUCCAAUAGCGUAUAUUAAAGUUGUUGCGGUUAAAAGGCUCGUAGUUGGAUCUCAGUUCCAGACGGGCGGUCCGCCUCGCGGCGGCCGCCGCCCGGCCUGAACAGCCGGCCGGUUUCCCUGGAUGAUCUUCGCUGGUUGUCUUGGGCGACCGGCACGUUUACUUUGAAAAAAUUAGAGUGCUCAAAGCAGGCGCGACGCCUGGAUACCGGUGCAUGGAAUAAUGGAAUAGGACCUCGGUUCUAUUUUGUUGGUUUUCGGAACGCGAGGUAAUGAUUAAGAGGGACAGGCGGGGGCAUUCGUAUUGCGACGCUAGAGGUGAAAUUCUUGGACCGUCGCAAGACGAACUACUGCGAAAGCAUUUGCCAAGGAUGUUUCCAUUAAUCAAGAACGAAAGUCAGAGGUUCGAAGGCGAUCAGAUACCGCCCUAGUUCUGACCAUAAACGAUGCCAACCAGCGAUCCGCCUGGGUUCCUCAAAUGACUCGGCGGGCAGCUUCCGGGAAACCAAAGUGUUUGGGUUCCGGGGGAAGUAUGGUUGCAAAGCUGAAACUUAAAGGAAUUGACGGAAGGGCACCACAAGGAGUGGGGCCUGCGGCUUAAUUUGACUCAACACGGGGCAGCUCACCCGGCCCGGACACCGGAAGGAUUGACAGAUUAAGAGCUCUUUCUUGAUUCGGUGGGUGGUGGUGCAUGGCCGUUCUUAGUUGGUGGAGCGAUUUGUCUGGUUCAUUCCGAUAACGAACGAGACGCGAGCCUACUAAAUAGGCGACCCGGUCCCUUGCGCCGGGCGCUCUUCUUAGAGGGACGGGCGGCGUUUAGCCGCACGAGACAGUGCAAUAACAGGUCUGUGAUGCCCUUAGAUGUUCGGGGCCGCACGCGCGCCACACUGAAGGAAUCAGCGUGUGCUUCCCCUGGCCGGAAGGCCUGGGUAACCCGGUGAACCUCCUUCGUGAUAGGGAUAGGGGCUUGUAAUUGUUCCCCUUGAACGAGGAAUUCCCAGUAAGCGCGAGUCAUAAGCUCGCGUUGAUUAUGUCCCUGCCCUUUGUGCACACCGCCCGUCGCUAUUCCCGAUUGAGUGGUGUGGUGAGGUCUUCGGACUGGCGCCCGGCGCGGCCCCCGGCCGAGCCGACGGGCCGGAAAGAUGACCGAACCCGGCCACUUAGAGAAAGUAAAAGUCG
rnacentral:rRNA from 1 species